rnacentral:rRNA from 1 species
CCUACGUGAGACAGCAGUGAGGAAUAUUGGUCAAUGGACGCAAGUCUGAACCAGCCAUGCCGCGUGCAGGAAGACGGCUCUAUGAGUUGUAAACUGCUUUUGUACGAGGGUAAACGCAGAUACGCGUAUCUGUCUGAAAGUAUCGUACGCAUAAGGAUCGGCUAACUCCGUGCCAGCAGCCGCGGGUAUAAGGAGGAUUCAAGCGUUUUCCGGAUUUAUUGGGUUUAAAGGGUGCGUAGGCGGUCGGAUAAGUUAGAGGUGAAAUCCCGAGGCUCAACUUCGGAAUUGCCUCUGAUACUGUUCGGCUAGAGAGUAGUUGCGGUAGGCGGAAUGUAUGGUGUAGCGGUGAAAUGCUUAGAGAUCAUACAGAACACCGAUUGCGAAGGCAGCUUACCAAGCUACUUCUGACGUUGAGGCACGAAAGCGUGGGGAGCAAACAGGAUUAGAUACCCCAGUAGUC